GGACUACUGGGGUAUCUAAUCCUGUUUGCUCCCCACGCUUUCGCGCCUCAGCGUCAGUAAUGGUCCAGUUGGCCGCCUUCGCCACCGGUGUUCUUGCGAAUAUCUACGAAUUUCACCUCUACACUCGCAGUUCCACCAACCUCUACCAUACUCAAGCGUCCCAGUAUCGAAGGCCAUUCUGUGGUUGAGCCACAGGCUUUCACCCCCGACUUAAAACGCCGCCUACGCGCCCUUUACGCCCAGUGAUUCCGAGCAACGCUAGCCCCCUUCGUAUUACCGCGGCUGCUGGCAC
rnacentral:rRNA from 1 species